AGCGAACGUUAGCGGCGGGCCUAACACAUGCAAGUCGAACGAGAAUGAGGGGGCAACUCCUCUAGUAAAGUGGCGGACGGGUGCGUAACACGUUGGUAAUCUACCUUCCGGCGGGGGACAACAGUCCGAAAGGAUUGCUAAUACCGCAUACGUCGACGAGGUCUCCGGAUCUUGUCGGGAAAGACGGCCUCUCCUUGGAAGCUGUCACCGGAAGAUGAACCUGCGGCCCAUCAGCUAGUUGGUGAGGUAACGGCUCACCAAGGCGAAGACGGGUAGCUGGUCUGAGAGGAUGAUCAGCCACACUGGGACUGCGACACGGCCCAGACUCCUACGGGAGGCAGCAGUGGGGAAUAUUGGGCAAUGGGCGCAAGCCUGACCCAGCCACG
rnacentral:rRNA from 1 species